GACGAACGCUGGCGGCGUGCUUAACACAUGCAAGUCGAACGGAAAGGCCCUGCUUUUGUGGGGUGCUCGAGUGGCGAACGGGUGAGUAACACGUGAGUAACCUGCCCUUGACUUUGGGAUAACUUCAGGAAACUGGGGCUAAUACCGGAUAGGAGCUCCUGCUGCAUGGUGGGGGUUGGAAAGUUUCGGCGGUUGGGGAUGGACUCGCGGCUUAUCAGCUUGUUGGUGGGGUAGUGGCUUACCAAGGCUUUGACGGGUAGCCGGCCUGAGAGGGUGACCGGCAAAAUUGGGACGGAGAUACGGCCCAGACGCAGACGGGAGGCAGAAGGGGGGAAUAGUGAACAAUGGGCGGAAGCCGGAUGCAGAAACGCCGCGUGCGGGAUGACGGCCUGCGGGUGGUAAACCGCUUUCGCCUGUGACGAAGCGUGAGGGACGGUAAUGGGUAAAGAAGAACCGGCUAACUACGUG
rnacentral:rRNA from 1 species